UACGUAGGGUGCGAGCGUAAUCGGAAUACUGGGCGUAAAGCGUGCGCAGGCGGUUCGUUGUGUCGGCGGUGAAAGCCCCGGGCUCAACCUGGGAAUGGCCGUUGAAACUGGCGAACUGGAGUGUGGCAGAGGGGGGUGGAAUUCCGCGUGUAGCAGUGAAAUGCGUAGAGAUGCGGAGGAACACCGAUGGCGAAGGCAGCCCCCUGGGCUGACACUGACGCUCAGGCACGAAAGCGUGGGGAGCAAACAGG
rnacentral:rRNA from 1 species